GACGUAGGGCGCGAGCGUUGUCCGGAUUUAUUGGGCGUAAAGAGCUCGUAGGCGGCUCGUUGCGUCAACCGUGAAAACCCGGGGCUUAACUUCGGGCUUGCGGUUGAUACGGGCGGGCUGGAGUUCGGUAGGGGAGACUGGAAUUCCUGGUGUAGCGGUGAAAUGCGCAGAUAUCAGGAGGAACACCGGUGGCGAAGGCG
rnacentral:rRNA from 1 species